rnacentral:snoRNA from 1 species
AAGCCAUGAUGGGGGCAUUGGUUGGUAUAAGCCUUGAAACGCUGCCAUGCUUCACAUAAGCUUUCACCAGCCUUCUAUAAAAAGCAGGAGAUCUCAUUUCUGAGUCU